rnacentral:rRNA from 1 species
UGGGGAAUAUUGCACAAUGGGCGCAAGCCUGAUGCAGCCAUGCCGCGUGUAUGAAGAAGGCCUUCGGGUUGUAAAGUACUUUCAGCGAGGAGGAAGGCGUUGUGGUUAAUAACCGCAGCGAUUGACGUUACUCGCAGAAGAAGCACCGGCUAACCACGUGCCAGCAGCCGCGGUAAUACGGAGGGUGCAAGCGUUAAUCGGAAUUACUGGGCGUAAAGCGCACGCAGGCGGUCUGUCAAGUCGGAUGUGAAAUCCCCGGGCUCAACCUGGGAACUGCAUCCGAAACUGGCAGGCUAGAGUCUUGUAGAGGGGGGUAGAAUUCCAGGUGUAGCGGUGAAAUGCGUAGAGAUCUGGAGGAAUACCGGUGGCGAAGGCGGCCCCCUGGACAAAGACUGACGCUCAGGUGCGAAAGCGUGGGGAGCAAACA